rnacentral:rRNA from 1 species
CUACGGGACGCACCAGUGGGGAAUAUUGCACAAUGGAAGAAACUCUGAUGCAGCAACGCCGCGUGGAGGAUGACACUUUUCGGAGCGUAAACUCCUUUUAUAUAGGAAGAAGAUGACGGUACUAUAUGAAUAAGCGCCGGCUAACUCCGUGCCAGCAGCCGCGGUAAUACGGAGGGCGCAAGCGUUACUCGGAAUCACUGGGCAUAAAGAGCGUGUAGGCGGAUUAAAAAGUCAGAAGUGAAAUCCUAUAGCUUAACUAUAGAACUGCUUCUGAAACUCUUAAUCUAGAAUAUGGGAGAGGUAGAUGGAAUUUCUGGUGUAGGGGUAAAAUCCGUAGAGAUCAGAAGGAAUACCGAUUGCGAAGGCGAUCUACUAGAACAUUAUUGACGCUGAGACGCGAAAACGUGGGGAGCAAACAGGAUUAGAUACCCCCGUAGUC